UGAUGAAGGUGCAAACUUCCCACGGUUCAACAGCUGUAAUAGGCUCAAAUUAACAGAGUGUUAAAUUGUGAGUGACUUAAAAUAGGCAAACGAUCGAAAUUCGAGUGAAAACGAUGCGCCACAUUGCUCAGCAUACACACACACAUACGCGAGUAAGCCAGAGAUAAGCAGUCAGCUGUUCGUGUGUGUGUUCGCUGUGAUUUAUCUGCUUACGCUCACGCGCUCACGUUUGUUUGCGGUGCUGAUCGCUGAUUGGCCCACUCCAACUGCGAGCGCUCUUUUUUGUGAGCGCCGCUUCAAUGGAUCUGCGCAACUUUACUUUGAGUCAGUGUGGUCCCAUAAGUCGACAGGGCAUGCUGUUGUGUUACGUGCGCUGGUCUACAUAUCAAGCCUGUUAUUAUUUUGUGGAUUUGAUGCUUAAGAAGAUAAGGCCCUAGCACGCAAAUACACAUAUACAUACACACACAUAUUUGGCGAUUCUCUACAUAUAUAUGGCAAAAAAUUCGAGCGAUGCGUAAGAAGAUAAGAAGUUAAUGCAAAUAUGCACAUACACACAUACACAUAUACAUACAUACGUAUUUGGCGAUUCUCUACAUAUGUAUGUAUGCAUGUUGGUUUCGUGGGAGCGCAAUCAAUAAGAAGAAGAUGCACAAGCAUACAUACAUAUAUUUGGCGAUUCUCUCUGCAUACAUACAUAUGUUUGGGUGUGUGUUCUGGCUUACGGUUGCUUGCUCAGUUUGCUGUGCGCCCAGGCUUCGGGCAGCCUUCAGCUUUGAUAAAGUUACCUCAUUUAAAGACUUAUGCGAACCACGAAAAGCUAAAUCUGCCAUGGACAGAAAAACAUUCUGUUAAGCUUGGAACCUGAAUGAUCUUGGUUAUUUCAUGCCAUGGAUAUAUCUUAAACAAAAUCGUAUUUAAAUUUUGUAGAAUUCUGUCGAUUUUUGAGUCUUACGAAUCCUUAAAGUUAACAUAUGUCGCUCCCCAAGUCCCAACUGUGCCACGCCCUUGGACAACAUUUAAUCAGCAAAUGAU